AUUGAACGCUGGCGGCAGGCUUAACACAUGCAAGUCGAGCAGAGAUGAGGUGCUUGCACCUUAUCUUAGCGGCGGACGGGUGAGUAAUGCUUAGGAAUCUGCCUAUUAGUGGGGGACAACAUUCCGAAAGGAAUGCUAAUACCGCAUACGUCCUACGGGCGAAAGCAGGGGAUCUUCGGACCUUGCGCUAAUAGAUGAGCCUAGGUCGGAUUAGCUAGUUGGUGGGGUAAAGGCCUACCAAGGCGACGACCUGUAGCGGGUCAGAGAGGGUGGUCCGCCACGCUGGGACUGAGACACGGCCCAGACGCCUACGGGAGGCAGCAGUGGGGAAUAUUGGACAAUGGGGGGAACCCUGAUCCAGCCAUGCCGCGUGUGUGAAGAAGGCCUUAUGGUUGUAAAGCACUUUAAGCGAGGAGGAGGCUACUGAGACUAAUACUCUUGGAUAGUGGACGUUACUCGCAGAAUAAGCACCGGCUAACUCUGUGCCAGCAGCCGCCGUAAUAC
rnacentral:rRNA from 1 species